rnacentral:rRNA from 1 species
GACGAACGCUGGCGGCGUGCUUAACACAUGCAAGUCGAGCGGUAAGGCCCUUUCGGGGGUACACGAGCGGCGAACGGGUGAGUAACACGUGGGUGACCUGCCCUUAGCUCUGGGAUAAGCCUGGGAAACUGGGUCUAAUACCGGAUAUGACUCCAUGACGCAUGUUGUGGGGUGGAAAGCCUUGUGCGGCUAGGGAUGGGCCUGCGGCCUAUCAGCUUGUUGGUGGGGUGANGGCCUACCAAGGCGACGACGGGUAGCCGGCCUGAGAGGGCGACCGGCCACACUGGGACUGAGACACGGCCCAGACUCCUACGGGAGGCAGCAGUGGGGAAUCUUGCGCAAUGGGCGAAAGCCUGACGCAGCGACGCCGCGUGGGGAUGAC